CCCUAGCCCCGAUAGUAGUGAAAAUCCUUUUGUGGCGGGGUUCACCACAAAAGAUUACUUCCUCAGUUCGCUAUCACUCGUGUGUAGCGGAUAGCGGGAAACAGC
rnacentral:sRNA from 1 species